GUUGAUGGUGGCUGAUUUCUUUCUUUGGCUGCUCAAUGGCACUGUCAUCGACUUGAUUUAUACGUGUUAUUUCUUCAGUGAACCCAUAGCCUAUACACACUGUCUUUUGAUACGUCUUGAUCUCUUCCUCUUCCCUACCUGUGUUUCUCACUCCUCUUUUCUAUCCAAUGUUUUUCUCGUGGUUUCUACAAACACCGAUUCCAUAUUAAAUCCACUCUUCCAGUGCUUCUUCCGAUCAUAAUUCUUCUUCUUCACCCCUUACCGACUUAAACUUUUACCAUCGGCUUCUGGCUAACGUUUUUAUGUGUAUCUGUUUUUUCUCCCACGCGAUCUUUCACCCUUCAUGUCAUUUUCGAUCUACCGAGGAGUAGACCCCUUCAGGCGCAGUGCAAUUGUUGAUUUCUCCGACUUUGAGUCCGUGAAAGUUGAAAUACAUAGUGCAAUUUGCAAUGUUAUUCAAUAAUUUGCCUUAGGGUUGAUGAUAAUGAUCGACAAAGGGGAGGGGGAUGGUCCUCGAUUUCCGUUACGGAUGCAGGAUGACCAGCGAUGAAUUGGGGAGGAACAAAAUCAAGUUCUUAGAUAUACAAUCCUCACCCUUUCAUCGCCAAUUCUAAAAGAGACAAUUUGGAAGGUCAAAAUCUUCGUUUUGAGAUUGCAAGAACAGCCGCAAGUUAAACGAUGAUUUUUUCUCUUACCUCAAGCUUGAAUUAGACAACUUCAAUUUGUUGUAUUAGAAAAUGAGUUCUUCUUAGGUUUCAUGAUUGGCUGAAUUCAAGAAAUUGGAGAGACUGGACCUCACCUUUACCAAUUUGUUGUUUCUUGAGGGGCUAAAUCAAUGUGUGAAUGUGAAGUGGUUAUCCGUUAAGCGGAACAAGAUCUGAAGCUUAAAAGGGAUAGAAGGGUGUGUUUCUCUUACGUCCUUUCAAGGAAUCCAAUUUCUAAAAUUGGUGAAAGUCUAGGCAAGGCUAACUCAAUCACAAAGCGUCUGGAAACAUGAAACUUGAGGUUGUUAGAGUGGAUCCUGCAAUUAUGGCCAUAUGUAUUGCUGUUACAAUUUCAAUUGCAGUCAAAUCAACAGCUGUAGAGAUAUUCUUGUACGUUCACUAGCCGACAUCCAAAAAUGUGAAGCUUAGAUUUAAGCCUAAGGAUAAAGACACAAAAUGUCAUUCCGGAAUCAACCUAAGGCUUCCAACCCCCGCAAAGCGGGGGAACCUUCAUUAGUUUAAACUAAUAAAGUCUAUCCUAAAAAAUUAGUCUUCAAAACGGAUCAUUUUUAGAAAGCUCACAAGCACAUCGAAUAGAGCUUUGUUGAAAGGUUUGGUAAACAAAUCUGUCACAUUGUUAUCAGUGUGGAUUUGUUCGAAACGAAUGAGCAAGUGCUCAUAACAAUCUCGAAUAAAAUGAACUUCGAUGUCAAUGUGCUUGGUUUUGAAGUGUUGGACUGGAUUUUUAGCAAUUUGGAUAGUAGCAUCAUUGUCAAAAAAAAUAUUGGAGUUUCAAGAAAAUUCAAACCAUAAUCGAGAAGUUGAUGUCGAAUCUAGAUGACUUUGGAGCAACAAGCAGAAGCAACAACAUAUUCAGCCUCAGUUAUUGAUGUUGACACGAUUUGUUGCUUCUUACACUACCAAGACACUAACCGAUCUCCCAAAAAUUGACACUCUCCCGAUGUUGAUUUCCUGUCAAGCUCACAUCCUCAAUAGUUACUGUCAGCAAAUGCAUAUAAAUCGAAAUCGGGAUUUUUAGGAUACCAAAGACCCAAUUUAGAGCUACCUUUAAGAUACCUAGAAAUCCUUUUGACAACAAUUGAAUGAGAAAAUUUAGGAUUAGUCUGAUAACGCGCACAUUGACAGCCUGCAAACAUGAUGUUGGGUCUACUGGCCGUUAGAUACAUCAGGGAACCAAUCAUCGAGCGGUAGUCUGUCUGAUCAACAGGCUCCCUCUCUGGGUCAGGAGACAACAACGGUCUUUCAGCCAAUGGAGUCAGUGUGAUCUUUGAAUCUUUAAAUCCAAACUUCUCCAACAUUUCUUCAACGUAUUUGCCUUGAUGUAACAAGAUUCCGACUAAAUCUUGUCGAACUUGAAGCCCUAAAAACAUGGUCAUUUCACCCAACGAAUUCAUCUCAAAUCUUUUCUUCAUGACAGUCUUGAACUCUUUGCACAGCUUGGAACUUGUCAAACCGAAAAUGAUGUCGUCCACAUAGAUUUGUACAAGAAUUAGGUCUGCACCCACAUGCUAAAUAAAUAAGGUAUGAUCGAUCGUUCUUCGUGUAUACCCAUGUGCAAGCAAGUGCUCUGUAAGAGUUGCAUAACAAGAUCUGGGAGCCUGAUGUAACCCAUAUAGAGCCUUGUCCAACUUGUAAGCAUGAUUCGGAAACUUGGAAUUUACAAACUAAGGUGGUUGAUCAACAUAAAUUUCCUCUUUCAUAGCUUCGUACAAGAAGGCGGUCUUGACAUCCAUAUGAUAAACAGUAAAGUUUAUGUAUGAAGAAUAUGCGGAUAGCUUCCAAACGUCCAACUGAGGCAUAUACUUCUAUGUAGUCUAGACCCUCUAUCUGCCUGAAUCCACGAACGAUCAAUCGAGCCUUAUUGUGCAAAAUCACCCCAGAAUCGUCUUGCUUAUUUCUAAAAACCUAGCGCGUGUCAAAAGACUUCUUGCCCUUUGGUAACUCAAACAACUUCCAAACACCUAGUUUUUCAAAUUAAUUUAACUCUUCGUGCAUCGCAUCAACCCAUCUUGGUUCAUUUAACGCCAUUGUCACACUCUUGUGGCCAAUGACAUUUUCAAUCGGAUGAUCGCCUUGAAUUCUUUUUGGGAUAUCAUGGUUGAGAUCAUCGACUGAGACUGGAAGUGUGUUGAUAUUGAAGAAUCUAUCUUCAACUGAAUCACUUACCUCAGACGAUCUAGGAUCGUGAGAGGUACUCGCCAAGUAUUGAUUUGAAAUUGGUUCAGGAAAGAGAAGCUCCAUGAACGCUUGAGUAGCAGCGGAAGUAUGCCUUGACAUGACUCCUCUUUCAUCUGGAGUAAGGGGAUUGGCUUCAGCAUCAGAGAAGAUUCUUUGACUUUGAGAACUUGAGGAAGUACUUGGAGCAGCUUCAUCCACUCUAGGAGACCAGGGAGUCACCAGGGGUAGUCUGUACACAACAUCUUCCUCUUUAUCUUCAACAACUGUACUUAAGUGUGAGCAGGAACCUGAAACAUUAUCAGAAUACAUAUUAAAUGAUUUAAACAAUGAUGCAUAAUCAAAUAACCAGUCGGGUCCAACUCUAGCAUCUGUCUCAUUCUCCUCCAGCCAACGCACGUCAUAAGAUUCCAACAUUUUCUUGGUGAGUUCGUUGUAUACUCGGUAAGCGGUGCGUGCGACGUAUCCCAUAAAAUAGCAGUCAUCGGCCUUUGAGUUGAACUUGGGGUUGGAUUUGAGGUGAAGAAGGGUGCAAGGAAAUCCAAAUAUUCUGAAAUGAGCAACUGAUGGCUUGUGAUUGUAUAAUAUCUCGUAUGGGGUCUUCAUCCAAGCUUUGUUGAUUAUGACUUGAUUUUGAACGUAACAAGCAGUGUUGAUUGCCUCAGUCCAUCUCACACCCCCAGACCAGACGGUGGAAACGUCCGGAGGCGGGUGACUUCAUUGUGCAGUAUCAUAACAAUUGAAUAUAAAUUAAACAGAGCAAUCCAAACUUCAUACAUUUAGAUAUCAAACUUACAUUGUUUACAUAUUGUAUUUGUUCUUAGAGUUACACAAAAGAGACAUAAGCAGAUAAAUUCCAAACUAGAGCUAAAUAGUCCAGCAUCCGCGUCCCUUGUUACCUGCUUAUUAGAUUCCUAGGAAUACAAGUCAUUUUGAAAAACGUCAACUAAAAAGUUGGUGAGUUCAUAAGAGUUUUUGUAUAAAAUAAUUUUACACUUGUUUAAAAUCGUUUUCAUUGUAGUUUUAGAAAAUACGAUAUUUUCUAUAAAAUCGUUUGAAGUCUUGCUUUGAAAAUCAUGGGUAGAUGCGUGCAUGUCAAUACUUUGGUUCAUCCUUAUAAGGAGUGAUCUUUGAAAAGUAGUAUAGUUUGUAAAGGCGAGUUGUUUUCGAGAAUAGUUCUUUUGAAUAGUAAUAACCAACCGUUUCAGAAAAAUCCCCUAUUUCCAAAAAGAAUACAACUGUAAAUCUUGUUUUUCUUAUCGGGUAUAAGUGAGUGUGCGUUCUAGUUUAUCAUUAUCGAAAUCGUAUAAAAUCGUUUUCCUCUAGAAAAUCCUAUAUGUUCUGCUAUAAAAUGUUCGUAAGUUCUGUUUCCAAUUGUGUAUACUUGCACGUGUGUGUGUGUGUGUGUUAGUUUAUCGUUUUCAAAAUCGUUUACAAACAUUUUCCCCAGAAAAGUCCUAUGUUUUCUUAUUGGUAAUAUAGCAGUAUUAAGACUCUAAUACUUGUUAGGUGAAAGAAAUCAACAUGACGAUUAUGGACAUUCUACGCAAUGAAAAAGGACAGUCAACACAACAAAUGCGGACCAUCACUACCAUGCGUAAAACAGUCAACACAAAGAGCCAAAAUUUAUUUAUGAGGUUUUCCUUAUAUAAAUUUCUAGCUAACAUAACGUAUUCUAGUGAGUCGUCAUAACCAUACUAAUAUGAUGGAAGCCUGUUUUAGCGUUUCUCAGGCGCCCUCGUUUUGGAUAAAGACAUUUGUCACCCUAGACUGGCCGGUCUAGCUGUAGCGAACAGUGAAGGUGCGGGGUGUCAACCCCGUAUAGAUCUAUACACAAAUUUCCACUCUCCCUCCAGGAGACUCUAGCUAUAACUCCCUACAGGACUUUCGACGUACACUAAUAUUUUUAUAUUUAGGCACUUUGAGAUUUGUCUGACUAGAAUACUAUCAACCUUUUGAGCAAUUGUCAAAGAUCCAUUAUUUGUUAGAUAAAAUAAUGAUAUCCGUACUCAUUGAAUAAAAAUAUCAUUUUCGUUCGAACUCAUUUAUUGUGCUUGUUAACUGGGUGCCUCAUGUUCGUUCCGUUUCGUUUAUUGAAAAAUAAGUCAUUUUGAAUGUUUAUCAAAAUGAUCCAACAUUUCGGAAUUUGGAAAAAAUGGUUUCCCUUUCUAUAAAUAGUCGAAUCAGACCCAUAUUAGUCAAACAAAAAGUGUCAAGUUAUAACUAGUGUAAUUUCAUGACUGUGGCUUAUGACACACAUUUUCUAUUUUAUGACAUAUAGAUCAUUACUUAUGUUCCUGAAGGUUUUACGACAG